AAGACCACAAAUUCAGUUUCCUUCUCUGCACAAAACCAAAACCACAAAUCAUUUCUUCCUUUCUAAAUACCAAGACACCGCCCACCGUUUCAUUUCCUUCUCUGCACACUCCACCGAAACCACUGCAAUUUCUCUCCUCAACAUACCAUACCUCUUCCUCUGCAUUCGACCAAGAGCAUCCGAGAGGGAGAGCCACUUGGUGAGCUUCAUCCGAGAGCUAGGAGGAGGGAAAGUGAACUGCCAGAAAUUUCUCUGGUCCUGCCAUGAGUUGGAGUGAAGCCGGGGAGGAGAUCUGCAGGAAGCUUCACCAUUUUUCAUCUUCAUCUCCACCAACUACAACCAACCGAACACAAAUCUACCAGCUACACUCAAUUCCAGCCGCAACAUAGGAAACAAGAACCACCGACUACACUUGGCCGAGAGUUAGGGAAGAAAUUUCUGGAAAAUUUUCGUGUGAAAGUUUAGCUGCUAUCUGAGGAUAUUUCGAGGACGCGGAAUUCGAUUCCCAACUUGAUAUCUGAACUCCACUCUUGGAUGGGAAGUUUGAAAGCAUUUGAGCAGCUUAUAUUUCCUAUGAAUGUACUUGAACAACUUGAAUUUAAAUUUCGGUUUGUAAUGAAUUCUACGUUAAGCACUGUACCUUUUAUUUUUGGUUGCCACUUGAAGCUGGAAAAGUGUAACCCUAAGUCUGGUAUCCUGCUUGUAUGAACGUAUUUGUGUGGUAUGGCUUUAAUCCUUGUAAGUAACGCACGAAGUGUUUAAGAGCCGUCGAUUGGCUAUCUUAUAAAUGUUGUUAUCUUUGAAGUUAAAUGAGGAUUUAGUUUAUUCUUCGGAAGGAUUUGGGCUAGAUUGCUUGUGUGAGUCCUGGCGAGAGCUAGGCAGACGGCCAGCCAACCCUCUGGUUCGCCUUAGGGGAAAGUGGGGUCGUCACAGUCCUCCUGUUCAAUAGUGUGGUCACGAUGAGCAUAACGUAACUUUAUUUUAUUUUCUUGGUUUUGUUCUCUAUUUGACAUUGGAUUCUAUUUUGAUCGUUUAGGACAGUCUAUCUCAGCAAGUACUUAUCAUCUGUAAAGUUCGUCGAGGUCAAUUGCAAUGUC